rnacentral:sRNA from 1 species
UCCUCUCCAAUGAUUCGAACUACAUGUCC